GGAGUUGUGGCUCAGCGGUAGAGCACUCAUCUAGUAUGUGCGAGGCUCUGUGUUCGAUCCUCAGCACCA
rfam:Ictidomys tridecemlineatus contig090463, whole genome shotgun sequence.